AAUGAUUUCUCAUAGCGUACAGUGUAUUACGAAUUAAAUCGCCCCGUAUAUCCGGUACUUUCCCAACUGCUCGCCGACAACGGUGCGACUAUUACUCGGUAUCGACUUUAUGACGCAUUUUUGGCGCCGCUGUUCCUCUAAUAAGGUCAUACUGCGGGAAAAAAUCUGAUCACGUCAAAAAAGAUUAUGGCACCCCCUUUAAACGCUCGUCCCCCCU